UGCACCACUGCACUCCAGCCUGGGCAAUGGAGUGAGACCCCGUCUCAAAAGAAAAGAAAAGAAAAGAUGAUUUUAAGAAGCGAUCGAGGGCACAAAAAAUGGCCAAAAGCCCCUGAGUGUCAUCCACCCAGAGUGAGGGCCGCUGUCCAGCUGCCGGGACCCUGCAGGAGGAACCAAAGCAGGAGAAUCCCUGGCACCACCCUUGCUCCAGGAUAUACCCCUGGGUGCUCAACAAAGAAAUGAGGACAACUUGCCACCAUCUUCAGUUUGAUGGAAUGGCCUUAGGCCUCUGCUGCCCAUUGUGAAGUCACCGGCCUCUUACCUAAAAGCUCAGGAGGAUUUAGGGAGAAUGCAGAUAGAGCACCUGAGUUCACUGUGUCAUGAAAGAAGGGAAGCCUCCCAGCAUUAGAUCUUAGGGAAUUGUUUCAACCAAAUUUAAGGAUGCAAAAGCCAAGAGUUGGGAGGAAAGGCAGGGAGAGAUACCUCCCUCCUCACCUGUGGCUGCAGCACUGCUUGGGGGCAUGGAAAAACAGUUUUCCACACCCUAGCAGACAGCAAAAGCUAUUUCAAUGUGCCAAGUGAAAGUUGAGCCAUGCCCUCAUCCAAACUAGCCUCCAGCCUCAUGCAGGCAGCUCGGGGCACCUGUGCACACUGGGCUCGCCCUUACGGAGCUGUUCCUCCAUCAGGCAGUUCUGGGCGCUGGUGUAUACUGGGCUUGCCCUUACGGGGGCUGUUCCUCCAUUUCUGUCUCCCCUUGUGCUGCCCCUCACUGGGAGCAGCACCACCCCAAUCCACGCCAGGCAAGCCCUGCCCUGGGACACCGCUGCUCUCUGUUCUCAUGGAUGACUCAGGCCCCAGCAAAGAUACUCUUUGUUCCUCAAAAGAGGGAAUGGAGGGCACACUUGCUGUUAGGAAAUGCCCCCCACCUUGCAGUCUGGCUUCCUGAUCUCUCUGUUAAGAUCUUUUAAGCCACCCCACAGCCACAGAACGAAGCCCAUCCACCAAGAGUACCUGAGCCCAAAUCUCCCCCUCCCCCACCCCGCCAGCUCCUCUGCCCGCAGACAGCAGGAGAAUGGACUUGUUUCCUAUCACGCAGGCCAUGUGCCCACUGGGCAAGACCCAAACCCAUGGAGCCCCCACCCCCUCCACCCCCCACCUUGCGCUGCUGAGCAUUCCACCACCUUUUGUAGAAACUUCACAGGUUUGAGAAAAUUCUGUGGAAGGGGGCUGAGGUUUAAUUCCGGAGUGGGGACAGCCUAGGGGGACAGCAAAGGAUGAUGGGGAGGAGUGCGGUCUGGGAGUCUGAGAGAAUAGAGAUUCUCAAAGGUACAGCCCAGGGCCGCCCACUUCUGCUUCCUGCUGUGCUCUCUGCCACCUUCCAUAUGACAUUGGCCUGGUCGGGGCAAAGAAGUGACCGACAGGCCCCUGGGGACAUCAUUCAGUCAUCAUUCAUUCAUUCACACACAGAUAUUUGCUCACAGUGGGCAAUGGGAAGGGGAGGCCAAACCACACACUGUAAAUGCUGCCCACAGAGAGGGCCUGCAGCCCAGGGGGGAUGAUGGACCACAGCUGCCUGGAGGGAGGCCUAAGGCAAAGCCUUGAAGGCCAAGGAGAAUGGAGAGAAUGGAGGGCCUUCCACCCACGGGCACUAAAAGAAGGCCAAGCCUACUUGGGGAGAGGCAGUAUCGGGACCUGUGCACUGGGCUGCACUGGGCAGAAAAAGGCUAUGAGUGUCAUGCUGUUGGGAGAAAACGGGUCCUGUGGUUAAGUAAAUUUGGGAAGUUCUGGAUUAAAUGAGUUGAACAGUUCUGUGUACUGCGGCACUUGUCAGGACUUUUAACCUGUGAAUGAUGCAGAAUGAACCUUAUGGUGGAUCCCAGGACUGGUGUCUCACACUGACAUAAGGACCAGGGGAGGCAGUGGGAGCUGAUGAGAUUCAAAACACAAGAGGUUUUGAAUGCCAGGCCAAGAAGGCUGGACUUUUUCCUUGUGGCAGUGAGGACUCUCAGAAGGAGACUUAGAGGGAUCUAGACUCAGGGAACCUGGGGCAGUUUAGUAACCAGCGAGGCCAGGGCUGUGGCAAGACUAGCCAGUCCCAGUCAAGGACUCCCCAACUCCUUGACAGCAGGGCCUUUCUGUGGGAGAGAAAACAGAGACCAUGGACACAGUCAGCAGUAAGGGUCUCAGAGAGAGCGGCGAGAAGACAGAAGGCUGGGCAACCCUGAAUUCAAGCUGGGCGCAGUGGUCAAGCCUACUUGGGUUCCAAUCCUGACUCCACCACUUCCCAGCUGUGGGUAUCUGACCUAAUGUCUCUGUGGCCUCAGGGUAUUUGUUUUUUGUGUUUUGAGAUGGAGUCUCACUCUGUCAC